GACGUAGGAUGCAAGCGUUGUCCGGAAUUAUUGGGCGUAAAGAGUUCGUAGGCGGUUAUUUAAGUCUGGUGUUAAAUACUGGCGCUCAACGUCGGCAUGGCAUCAGAAACUGGAUGGCUAGAGUGUGGCAGAGGUCAAGGGAAUUCCAGGUGUAGCGGUGAAAUGCGUAGAUAUCUGGAGGAACACCGGCGGCGAAAGCGCUUGACUGGGCCAUAACUGACGCUGAGGAACGAAAGCCGGGGGAGCAAAAGGG
rnacentral:rRNA from 1 species